GACAGAGGGUGCAAACGUUGCUCGGAAUUACUGGGCGUAAAGCGCGUGUAGGCUGACCGGAAAGUCGGGCGUGAAAGCCCUGGGCUCAACCCAGGAACUGCACUCGAAACUCCCGGUCUAGAGUGGUGGAGAGGGAAGUGGAAUUCCUGGUGUAGAGGUGAAAUUCGUAGAUAUUCGCAAGAACACCAGUGGCGAAGGCGGCUCACUGGCCCGGUACUGACGCUGAGGUGCGAAAGCGUGGGGAGCAAACAGG
rnacentral:rRNA from 1 species